rnacentral:rRNA from 1 species
CCUACGGGAGGCAGCAGUGGGGGAUAUUGCACAAUGGGGGGAACCCUGAUGCAGCGACGCCGCGUGGGUGAAGGAGUGCUUCGGCAUGUAAAGCCCUAUCGGCAGGGAAGAAGCAAGACGGUACCUGACUAAGAAGCCCCGGCUAACUACGUGCCAGCAGCCGCGGUAAUACGUAGGGGGCGAGCGUUAUCCGGAUUCACUGGGUGUAAAGGGAGCGUAGACGGAAUAUCAAGUCAGCGGUAAAAAUUCGGGGCUCAACCCCGUCGUGCCGUUGAAACUGAUGUUCUUGAGUGGGCGAGAAGUAUGCGGAAUGCGCAGUGUAGCGGUGAAAUGCUUAGAUAUUGCGCAGAACUCCGAUUGCGAAGGCAGCAUACCGGCGGCGAUCUGACGCUGAGGCACGAAAGCGUGGGUAUCGAACAGGAUUAGAUACCCUUGUAGUC